rnacentral:rRNA from 1 species
UGGGGAAUAUUGGACAAUGGGCGCAAGCCUGAUCCAGCCAUGCCGCGUGAGUGAUGAAGGCCUUAGGGUUGUAAAGCUCUUUCUCCGGUGAAGAUAAUGACGGUAACCGGAGAAGAAGCCCCGGCUAACUUCGUGCCAGCAGCCGCGGUAAUACGAAGGGGGCUAGCGUUGCUCGGAAUCACUGGGCGUAAAGCGCACGUAGGCGGAUCGUUAAGUCAGGGGUGAAAUCCUGGAGCUCAACUCCAGAACUGCCCUUGAUACUGGCGAUCUCGAGUUCGAGAGAGGUUGGUGGAACUCCGAGUGUAGAGGUGAAAUUCGUAGAUAUUCGGAAGAACACCAGUGGCGAAGGCGGCCAACUGGCUCGAUACUGACGCUGAGGUGCGAAAGCGUGGGGAGCAAAACAGGAUUAGAUACCCUGGUAGUCCACGCCGUAAAACGAUGGAUGCUAGCCGUUGGGGGGUUUGACCUCUCAGUGGCGCAGCUAACGCCUUAAGCAUCCCGCCUGGGGAGUACGGUCGCAAGAUUAAAAACUCAAAUGAAUUGACGGGGUCAUAGCUG